AUUGAACGCUGGCGGCAUGCCUUACACAUGCAAGUCGAACGGCAGCACGGGAGCAAUCCUGGUGGCGAGUGGCGAACGGGUGAGUAAUAUAUCGGAACGUGCCCAGUCGUGGGGAUAACGUAGCGAAAGCUACGCUAAUACCGCAUACGAUCUAUGGAUGAAAGCGGGGGAUCGCAAGACCUCGCGCGAUUGGAGCGGCCGAUAUCAGAUUAGGUAGUUGGUGGGGUAAAGGCUCACCAAGCCAACGAUCUGUAGCUGGUCUGAGAGGACGACCAGCCACACUGGAACUGAGACACGGUCCAGACUCCUACGGGAGGCAGCAGUGGGGAAUUUUGGACAAUGGACGCAAGUCUGAUCCAGCCAUUCCGCGUGCAGGAUGAAGGCCCUCGGGUUGUAAACUGCUUUUGUACGGAACGAAAAGGUUUCUAUUAAUACUAGGAGCUCAUGACGGUACCGUAAGAAUAAGCACCGGCUAACUACGUGCCAG
rnacentral:rRNA from 1 species